rnacentral:rRNA from 1 species
AACGAACGCUGGCGGCAUGCCUAACACAUGCAAGUCGAACGAAGACUUCGGCCUUAGUGGCGCACGGGUGCGUAACGCGUGGGAAUCUGCCCUUGGGUUCGGAAUAACUCAGAGAAAUUUGAGCUAAUACCGGAUGAUGACGUAAGUCCAAAGAUUUAUCGCCCAAGGAUGAGCCCGCGUAAGAUUAGCUAGUUGGUGGGGUAAAGGCCUACCAAGGCGACGAUCUUUAGCUGGUCUGAGAGGAUGACCAGUCACACCGGAACUGAGACACGGUCCGGACUCCUACGGGAGGCAGCAGUGGGGAAUAUUGGACAAUGGGCGCAAGCCUGAUCCAG